rnacentral:rRNA from 1 species
UAAUACUCGCGGUCCAAGUCGCAGCCAUUUUUAUUGGGUCUAAAACAUCCGUAGCUUGCUUAAUAAGUUUCUUGUGAAAUUCUAUGUCUUAAACAUAGAGCGUGCAUGAAGUACUGUUAAGCUAGAGACUGGAAGACGUGAGAAGUAUGGCAAAAGUAGCGGUAAAAUGUUUUAAUCUUUGUCAGACUCACAAUAGCGAAGGCAUCUCACGAGGACAGUUCUGACAGUAAGGGAUGAAGGCUAGGGGCGCAAAACGGAUUAGAUACCCGUGUAGUCCUAGCAGUAAACUCUGCACACUAAACAUUAGUACCUCUUCGAGAGGUAUUAGUGCUGAAGGGAAGCCGAAGAGUGUGCUACCUGGGAAGUAUAGUCGCAAGGCUG